rnacentral:misc_RNA from 1 species
AUAAAACAAGCAACAACAAAAAUUUAGAUUAUAUAUGAAACAAAUUGUU